AUGAAUUACAUAGAUGAAGGAAAUGAUGACAAACUUUUCGAAGCUCAUAGGGUCUGGGGUAGGCGGUUUAUGAGACUAUAUCAACCAUUCACAUCAUGGAACAACUCAAAAGAUCCCGAAGGUUUCAAGAAACACUAUGCCACGGUACAAGUUGAACUAACUGAUGAAUGUAAUCCUCAAUCUUCUUCUUUUUACGACUUUUUUUGCUUGGUCUGUACCAUAACCGCGAAGGGUAAAAUGCGGCGAACGAUAAAUCCACCAUGUAAUCUUGAUCGGAAGAAAUGA